UUUAAUAUUAGACGUAAGCAAAAAUAUCUUAAAAUUUUAAUACUUGUUCUUAAAUAUGUGAGAAAUAUGAACAAAUUUUAUGCUAUAUAUAACAAUGCUUGCUUAAGUAGAAAAUAUCGUUAGGAUGUGAUGACUCACCAUUUGUGUGUACUUACUCUGCUACAUCUCGAAUAUCUUUUUGGAAAGUUACUGAAUCAAUUACAUAGACAAGUCCUUUUGCGGAUAAUUUGAAUUGA